rnacentral:rRNA from 1 species
GACAGCCAGGAUGUUGGCUUAGAAGCAGCCAUCAUUUAAAGAAAGCGUAAUAGCUCACUGGUCGAGUCGGCCUGCGCGGAAGAUGUAACGGGGCUAAACCAUGCACCGAAGCUGCGGCAGCGACACUCAGGUGUUGUUGGGUAGGGGAGCGUUCUGUAAGCCUGUGAAGGUGGCCUGUGAGGGUUGCUGGAGGUAUCAGAAGUGCGAAUGCUGACAUAAGUAACGAUAAAGCGGGUGAAAAGCCCGCUCGCCGGAAGACCAAGGGUUCCUGUCCAACGUUAAUCGGGGCAGGGUGAGUCGACCCCUAAGGC